rnacentral:rRNA from 1 species
CAAUAGCGUAUAUUAAAGUUGUUGCAGUUAAAAAGCUCGUAGUUGGAUUUCUGGUCGGAAGCUCCUGUCCUCUGAUGAGCGUACAAGUGCGUCCUACCAUCCUUCUGUUAACCUUUAAGGCUUUCGCGGCUUUCUAGGGGCUCAGAUAUUUUACCUUGAGAAAAUUAGAGUGUUUCAGGCAGGCUAGCGCCGGAAUACAUUAGCAUGGAAUAAUGGAAUAGGACUUUUGCCUCUUCUGUUGGUCAUGAGGCUCGAGUAAUGAUUAAUAGGGAUAGUUGGGGGCAUUAGUACUUAACUGUCAGAGGUGAAAUUCUCGGAUUUGUUAAAGACUAACCUAUGCGAAAGCAUUUGCCAAGGAUGUUUUCAUUAA